GAGGGUAGAGCUCAGUGGUAGAGCACAUGCUUAGCGUGCACAAGGUCCUGGGUUCAAUCCCUAGUGCCUCUG
rnacentral:tRNA from 1 species